rnacentral:rRNA from 1 species
GACGAACGCUAGCGGGAGGCCUAACACAUGCAAGCCGAGCGGUAUUGUUUCUUCGGAAAUGAGAGAGCGGCGUACGGGUGCGUAACACGUGUGCAACCUGCCUUUAUCUGGGGGAUAGCCUUUCGAAAGGAAGAUUAAUACUCCAUAAUAUAUUGAACGGCAUCGUUUAAUAUUGAAAGCUCCGGCGGAUAGAGAUGGGCACGCGCAAGAUUAGCUAGCUGGUGAGGUAACGGCUCACCAAGGCGAUGAUCUUUAGGGGGCCUGAGAGGGUGAUCCCCCACACUGGUACUGAGACACGGACCAGACUCCUACGGGAGGCAGCAGUGAGGAAUAUUGGUCAAUGGGUGCAAGCCUGAACCAGCCAUCCCGCGUGAAGGACGACUGCCCUAUGGGUUGUAAACUUCUUUUGUAUAGGGAUAAACCUACCCUCGUGAGGGUAGCUGAAGGUACUAUACGAAUAAGCACCGGCUAACUCCGUGCCAGCAGCCGCGGUAA